UCAGGUAAUCAUUCAUCUUUGCACUACAGGCCAAAGAUAUUCAUCAAGUAUCACCAUUAAGGACUGAGGAUGAUGGAAAAACAUUUUAGAGAACGAAUCCAGUGCGACAGAAGGACAAAUAUUAGGGAUUCGUAUUUCGGUUUAUCCAAAUUCAAUAAUACUCCAUAAUAACCAAGUGUGAAGUAGAAUUCAAAAAUAAAGAUCAAAACAUAGAUACAAUCAAAGAUAGUAACCAUAAAAGACAUCUGGAAG
rnacentral:lncRNA from 1 species